GUGGCGAAAGCGCGCUUCUGGGGUGUAACUGACGCUAAUGGACGAAAGCCAGGGUAGCGAAAGGGAUUAGAUACCCCUGUAGUCCUGGCCGUAAACGAUGGACACUAGGUGUUGGUGGUUUCGACUCCAUCAGUGCCGUAGCUAACGCGUUAAGUGUCCCGCCUGGGAAGUACGAUCGCAAGGUUGAAACUCAAAGGAAUUGACGGGGGCCCGCACAAGCGGUGGAACAUGUGGUUUAAUUCGAUGCAACGCGAAGAACCUUACCUGGGCUUGACAUCUAUAGAAGCUUUGUGAAAGCAGAGUGUGCUCGCAAGAGAGCUAUAAGACAGGUGGUGCACGGUUGUCGUCAGCUCGUGUCGUGAGAUGUUGGGUUAAGUCCCGCAACGAGCGCAACCCUCGAGAUUUGUUGUUACAGACUGUAAAGGUGCUGAACCCUCAAAUUUGACUGCCGGUGACAAGCCGGAGGAAGGUGGGGAUGACGUCAAAUCAUCACGCCCCUUAUGUCCAGGGCUACACACGUGUUACAAUGGGACAGGACAACGGGUUGCUUUGCUGCGAAGUAUGGCUAAUCCUUAAACCUGCCCUCAGUUCGGAUCGUAGUCUGCAACUCGACUACGUGAAGUCGGAAUCGCUAGUAAAGGCGGAUCAGAACGCCGCCUUGAAUACGUUCCCGGGCCUUGUACACACCGCCCGUCACACCACGAAAGAAGGCUAUGCCCGAAGUCGGUCAGCCAACCCUUUGGGAGGCAGCUGCCUAAGGUAGAGCUUUUGAUUGGGGUGAAGUCGUAACAAGGUAACC
rnacentral:rRNA from 1 species